rnacentral:lncRNA from 1 species
CGAGAAUUACAGCAUAACACGCACUGCUGCUUCAUGGCACGACAUGAGGCCCUGCUGCACCUGCUCCCUCUUAGGACUGAAUGCCCUACGAUCCCCACCAAAUGAGGAAGGACGCUAGAGGUUACAGGACUGGUCCCCGACCGCUCAGCCAGAAACAGGCUUUGAACCCUGCUGAACUCCGGUGGCACAGGCUGCGCAAGGCUUGCGUCUCCCUGGAAGGGCCACUCCUCUCUGGUCAGCGAAAUCUCCUCCCCGCCCAGGAAUCUGGACGGCCCCUGCCAUUUGCCUGGUUGUUCCCCUACCCGAGUGCCCUCGAUUUUCCCCUCUGGUCGGGGCAGGAGCGGCAGGGCUGGAUGCCAGGGCCCCAGGGGCAGGGAGGUGAGUGGGCACCACUCCUUCCCCCACGGGUAAGGUGGACAUCCAGCUUCGGACCACAUCACAGACGCCCAGGCCCCCAGCCACAGCCGGGAUCACUCAGCUGGGUAACGUCUCCACUUCCCAGCUGGGCCAGAACUUUUCCAUGCUGCCAGGACUUGCAAGAAAACAGCUGUCUGGCUGGCUGUGCACUGUCCAUGAGCCCUGGUGGGGUUGUGAUUAUUGCUGGUAGGAGGCUGGGGACGAGGCCAGAAGCCUGGAGGCCGUGUGAGGAUCACACCUCGUGA